AUUCAAGAUCUUUCAUUUGUUCUCAAGGAAUCAUGGGAUUAUUCAACAGAGCAAUAUUGGUUCCCGAAAUUGGAUUUCCUAACUGAACUAGAAGGCCUCAAUGUAGGUUUUGAAAGAUCAAACACAAAUGACAGUGGGUCCUCUGCAGCCAUAAAUCGGCCAUGGGAUUUUCACUUCCCUUCGAGUUUGAAAAAAUUGUCGUUGGGUGACUUUCAUCUGGCAUCCGAUUCACUAUCCACAAUAGCGAGACUGCCCAACCUUGAAGUGCUGUCCCUUUAUGAUACAAUCAUCGAGGGGGAAGAAAGGAACAUGGAGGAGGAAGACACCUUUGAGAAUCUCAAAUGUUUGAAGUUACGUCAAGUGACUCUUUCUAAGUGGGAGGUUGGAGAGGAAUCCUUUCCCGCGCUUGAGAAAUUAAAACUGGAGGGAUGUCGUAAGCUUGAGGAGAUUCCACCUAGUUUUGGGGAUAUUUGGUCACUCAAAAUUAUCAAACUUGUAGAGAGCCCUCAACUUGAAGAUUCCACUAUGAAGAUUAAGGAAUACGCUGAAGAUAUGAGGGGAGGAGACGAGCUUCAAGUUGUUGGCAGGAAGAAUAUCCCGUAAUUUAAGUAGCAUUAUAUGUGAACAGAUCACAUGUAAAGAAGAUGGUUACAAUUCUUUUUUCUGUUGUGGUGAAUAUGUAUUCCAAGAACUCUCUGCUAUGAUGGGAAAGAAUACAAAAGGUGCAAGAUUAUUGGUCUUGAGGAGAUAGCCAACUAUUGUAAGGACUUAAUAAGGGUAUUUCCUUAUGCACAAGAACUGAAUGUAUCCUUGACAGAGCUAUCUCAAGCUGGCUCCACUUGGUUCUAUACUUCUGCUGCCAAAUGACAAAUGCCCCCUUGGUUACAAUUGCAAGGAACUGGUUUAACUUGAUUCGGUUUCAUUUGUGUUUACUCAAG